rnacentral:tRNA from 1 species
GUUUCUUUAGUAUUGUAGGUAUGUUUAAUUGCAAAUUAAAAGGUUUGAGAAAUUUU